rnacentral:lncRNA from 1 species
GCCCCCAUAAGAACCCCUAUAAAUAGAGGGCACCCCCCACUCAUUAAAGGCAGGUCAUUUGGAGCGAAAGGAUUCCUAGCGAAGCAGAGCUCUGCGCACUUGAGUUCCGGUCCGGUUUCCCACGGAGUUCCCCGCUUGGCGCUUGCUUGCGUGUCUUGGAGUACUGGUCGGGUUUCACCCCCAUCAGUUGGCGCCGUCUGUGACUCAAAGAUACUCACGACAAAAGCUCCUCGACUUUUUCGAAAAAAGUGAUCGACUUUUUUCCAAGUCGCCAGCUAGGGAGUCUUGCGAGGAAAUCAGCCAGCAAGGGAUC